UCUCAUGGCAGUCCUUAUCUAAAUGUCAUAGAGGCCUUUCUGCCACUUUGGCAUCAGACCGAGGGCUGACAUUCCUUUUGUUUCCCUUUCCAGUUGUCUCUCAGAUAUGCUUUCUUCCUUGAGCUGAGGAUAACCACAUUAGGAACAUACUGUGCUUCUAUGUUUAGAUCUCUAAUUAGUUUAUUCAAUAGGGUAAGUAUAAUUAUCCUCAUUGUAUGAAUCAUUGUAUGAAGAUGAAACAAUUUGCUCAAUAUCUUACCUCAAAUCAUUUUUAUAUCUAUGAAAAUUCAUCAUUGUAUUGCUUGUAGUAAUAGCUUGUCUCACUUAGUUCUACACCCUGUGUCCUACAUCUCACUUCCAAGUAUUUAUUUCCAAGUAAACUCCUUACUAGACUUCUGCCCACAUUACACUGUGAUGUGGGUGGGAGGCACAGUAGCAGCAGUGAAGGAAUCUGCCUCGCAGGGCACCUCAUUCUCCCCAAGGUAAGGAAUGAAAACUUUGAAGGUUUCUCUGUUUACUCUAAAAACCAGAACAGAUGUAUGUUGACAUUUAAUUUCUCCUAGUCAGCUGUUUGUAAGCACACCACUUCUUAAAGGAAGUAUAAAUUUAGGUGUGUAGAUGUUCAGUAAUUUUAAAAAAGACACUCUGUAGCUAAUGAAUCCCAACACAGUUUUCUGUUCAGUUACCAUCCUUUGCUAUAACAGACUGAAAAGUUGCAGUCAUAAGCCAGAGUCAUUCAGAAAGUUAAUUUUUUUUCAGCUGUAUUUUAUGUGAUUUUUUUAAGGAAGGGAAAAAUUAAAGGAAUUUUGAAAAGGUUUUUGGCAAUUGCAUCCACAGCAGUGCAUGUAUUCUGUUCAGCACAGUCAUUACACUGGAGCACACAAAACCCCAGCUUUCAUUUGUUGGGACUGACUUUUAAGAAGCUUUCUCACCAGUGCAUACAAUUUGGUCUGUGUGUCCUCUUUUGUGGCCAUUAUUAACUCACAGUGUGGGCUAUAAACCCAGGCUUCCUCAUCUAGUGCCAACUGGCAUCUGUCACCACUCUCUCCUUAUCUGCUACCUCUGCCAGUUCCCAGUGUGAAAUGAGGCCACGCCACGCUAUCAUUGGGAUUAGACCUAAUGCACUGAGUUCUGUCUGCCCUGUUUAUUUUUACCAACUUAUUUAGAUUUCCAGUCUGGGAAUCUGAUGUCCAGAAAUACUGGUGUUUUAAUAAGCAGUAAAUCCACACAGAUGCAAAGCCUGACUAUUUCCUCUUGCAUUUUUUUGUGUCCUUAGAGGGCAUGGAGGAGAUGCAAAAUCCUACAAAAAGCACAGAAAGCCCUGCAGAAGUUGCUUCCAUACCACUGCUAUGUGUAUGUCCAGGUGCAGAAGGACCAGGGGACACAAGGAAGGACAAUUGCCUGGCACCUGGAACCAAUUGAGCUAAUGUCCUGCAGGGAUUUGCUUCUGGUUUGAACCAUCUUGUAGUCAUCACAGCUGUUCCUCCAUGUCUCUGUGUGCUUUUUUGAGCUAUGUAAAGAAUUGCUAACACUCAGUAUGGCCUGCAUAUCCAGACUGACAAUUCAAUACGGCUUUCUCUCGUGAUGAAUGAUUACAGACCUAAUGGUGGAUUCUCCAGAUAAUGGAUUACGGGUUCUGUGAACUCUGCUUUCAGCUUUUCCCCUGACUGGAGGAAUUGGGAUGUUUUUUCCAGGUAAGAGUCUCUCUCGAUUUAAAGUGAACUCGUGCUGCAGCCGUUUCUUCAGCCACAGGAUUUCAAGCUUCCCCCUCCACGCCCUGAUCAUCUUCUUUCAUUAAACAUUCAGGAAUUCCGUGGGGAAUUGAGACAGAUGUGCGUUCGGGUCGGGAUGAGCAGGAUCUCCCUCUGGAGGCCUCCAGCAGCAGCUGCUUCCCUCCCUCGGCGCAGAGCCCCGGGGGAGACGCGCUCUGGCAGAACCAAAACGCUGCUGAAAACCAACACACCUCCAGGACAGGAGGCACUUGCUUUCUGAUUUGCCUUACACCACCGAUCCAUCUGGCGAACGUGGUUGCAAUUUUCCAGCAGCUCCAGCAGCUCCUGGAGUGGCUCCUGUCCGCCUGCCCCCGAGCGAGCAGGGCCGGGCAGGGCUGAGGCGCGGCCCGGGCCCUCAGAGCCGGGCCUGCCGCGGCCCCGCUCGGAGCGGCCCCGCUCAUCCGACGGGAUGGGAAUGAAGCACUCCGGGGGAAACGAAGCUCACAAGGACGUAUCACAUCCGUGGAUUUUCUGCCACAGGAGAAGAUCGAGACUUAAAGUCCUUCUGCCUGGAGAUGUUUUUCACCUCUUCCUGGUGAGGCAUGAAAGAAAGGGAUGAGGAAGAUGCUCAUUUCUAGACUCUGCAAAUGCUCACAGAAAUUGCAGACGAGUGACAGUGCCACAAGGAGAGGAAGCCUGGAAGCGGUGCCUGUUGCGUCCCAAAGGACAGGCUGAAAUGUCAUUUAGUGCUUUGCUGCUGCUUACACUCCAGUGCUGAAUGACAAUGUGGAAUACAAGCUGUGAUCAUCUGAUUCCAGAUUUUUAUGGUGGAAAAAGGAACCCUGGAAGAACAGACAUCCUGGUACACUGCAGGUUUAGUCUGGAUCCUAUUAAUAGUUCCUAUCCCCUGUUUCCAAACACACACUCUUACUGUCCUGUGAUUCAAAAGGUUGACCAGUUUACUGGAUUCUAGGGAGGUUGUGCCAGGGAGAAAGGGGAGCUGAUUUGAGGGCAAUUGGUCUGAUUCUUCCCUUUAUUUCCAAAUAAAUUCUCUUUUUCCAAACACAAGAAAAAUAAAAAAAUAGUGUAUAAUUCCAUAACUCCCAUCCUCAAAUCUUUCCCAUUCAAAACCUGAUUAAAAACCCCUUCUUUCUCAGUUUUUUCUCAGAUCAUCAGUACCAGAUUUUUGUGGGUGUGCCCUAUCCCUUAUUUAUUUAUUUUUUUUUUAAGUCAUAUUUCUGCCUCCUUUUGUAAAGACAAACCAAAAAAGAAUGAAACAAUACAAAUUCCUCUGUGUGUGUAUAUAUAUACAUAUGCUUUCUUUUGGAUGAAGCCAGCUAGUGCUUCAGCUGCUUUUUUGCCAUGGAAGUGUUUAGUAACUUCUUAAUCUUAAAUGAGGAAUCCUAUACAUAACUGUGUACCCAUCCUUGAUGAAUGUCCUAAUAAAUCCUGAUAUUUUACUGCAAUAUAGGACUUCGGGCCAAGUGGACAAAAAUAUCAUAAAGCAAUCCUUUUAUUUUUCAUGUGAAUUUUGCAGAGGUUUCAAAUAUGCUUUAAUUAGCUUUGUAGACUGUACUUCCCUUGGCCUUUGUCUUCUCUUCUGUUUAUUUAUGCUAUUUUAGCCCCUCCAGCAAUAUGCAACAAAUAAUCAUUUCCUUUCUGUUAAAAACUGCCAUUGGAUAAUGUUUGUUCCAAUGCAUAUUUCCUAUAGUUUUAGUUGAAAAUCACCAUCACCAUGAGCCUGAGGAAGCUUAAUUCAAUAGGUUGUUAGUGCAGGCUAGUGCUUAAGAACUUACCUCCCAGAAAUUAGGAAAAUGAAAGCAAACAUCUACAGUUUGGCUAUGUUUCUACACAAUCCUGCAUGAAGUGAAAGUCAAAGGAUUUAUUGUUCCUAUUACAUGUUGCAUAUCAAAAUACACUAGAUGUAUUAGCAGUUUUGACAAGCAUUUGACAGAAGGAGCCAACAGGAGUGUAUUUCCCAUUGUCACUGAGUCCAUAAGCCUGAUUCAGCUUCAGGCUGAUUUCCAGUCUCAAUAGACAUCCAAUCCUAGUGGAAGAAAGGAUAACUGCAUGCUUUUCCAAAAGAAAACUUAUCAGAAAGGAGAGACAUCUCGGGAUUUUUGAGAUCAAAAAAAUUUAUAUGUCCUGACCAUGCAAAAGACAGAAGAUUUUUUUUAGUAUUCACUGAGCAGAAUUCUUCUUUUGUUUUCUUCGACUGAAAACAAAAGUGCAUUGAGAGAUUUUAUCCUAGAAUGACUGUGGCAUGCAAUGUCUUGGCUAGCUGUGACAAGAGCAGCUUACAAGAUGAGCUUCCAGACAGAUAUUUAGUCUUACUCUGGUACCUUUACAAUGCUACUCAUGCAGGCAUCCCUCAUGAUGAUCCCUCAGCAGUUUUACUGCUGCCUCCCCACAGUCAUAGCAGCAAGUUUGUGUUCUUCCUUUGAAACAGCACACUUUGCUGUAUGUACUUGUCUCAUCUGAAAAGCUUUAAAUCACCCUGAGACCUCCUUAACAAGACAGACCCUAAAACAUGGUCUUUGUUUAAAGCUUUGCUGGCAAGCUCCUCAUGAGACAUACAGUAAAUUCACUCAAAUGAAAACCAGGUCACCCCACUGCACCUUGCCACUGAAUCAUUGCAUACCUUCCUUUCCUGUGCUUCAGAUGCAAGUACUGGGUUUUGUCACUCCAUUACUUCUUAGCUAUUUUCUUUUAAUAAAGGGAGUCCAAAGCAUCACCAAAUCUAAAUUUUCCACAUGUUCUGUUGCUAUGUUUUAUAAAAUCUCGCCAUAAAUGAAAACUUUGUUAUAAAAUGAGGUCAGUGGAGGAUUGCUACAUGAGGUCGCUGAAGAGCUCAUAGAGCAUGAGUUACACAAUGCCAGCAAGUCAAAGCGAGCUACCAGUAACAAAGCAUGACAAUGGCAACAGAAGUCAUAAUGAUGUGUAGCUGCCUCACAGUUGCUCGAAGUUUUCCACAAACUUGCACUUGUCAUGUAAAUAGAAAGUCAGAACCUGCUAACAAUAGCGCAUGAAAACAACACACUGUUUUGCAACAAACAGGCAUUAUGUUAAUGAACAAAGCCUAAACAGUCUUUAGGACUAGAUAAUUAUCCCCCUUGUACUUCUGGAAAGGCAGAAUUGCACAAAGGAGAACUGCAUUCGCUCAGACGUGGUCAAAUAGUGGCCCAACUGAGACCUCAGUGCCUAGUUUUCGGGACAGUGCUUGCAGUCUAUAGCAGAGCUGAGCUAGCAUCACACAGCACCAGGGAAAAACAGAGCAUUAAAACACGUAAGGGAUGUGGGCUGUCUCGGGGAACUCCGAGUGAGGAUGGAGAGAGACCAAGCACCAGCAAGAGGUCAUUUUAUGUAAACAGAAGUGGAGAGCACUAAAUUUAGUCAGCUGAUUAUUUAUUUCGUAUUACAUUUUGCUUGAACAUUUGGCUGUGGAAUAAAAAAAUGCUAAUGUGACUCCAUGGAUAUUCCUGAGAGCAUAAUAAAUUUGUAGAGUAGAUAGACAAGCUCAUUGAAAUCAAUACUUUGGACCAUGCUGAAAAUAGCACUCAGGACAAUACCACUUAGACAUUAGAGAUAUUACAAUAAUUGGUUUCAUGUAAAACAGAUAGCUAAAGACAUUGGAUUAGUUCCCAGGAGUGUGCUAGACUACAUCAUUGAAGAUGGGUUCUUUAAUUGAAUGCAUAUAGGAAUAGAUAUAACAGCUUGAGCCAUACACACUAUGUCACAAACCUUAACAUUUAUGGCUACACUUCAUUUUGCACACCAUCCUAUCCCCAUAAAAUAGCUUGUUUCAAAUUUAAAGGUACAGAAUCCAAUAUAUUUGCUUAAGAGGCAUUUUAUAUUCUUUCAGGAAGGAGACACAUCCUCCUGCUUUUUACUGAAAAGAAUCAAGUACAGUCCUGGAGCAAUAUAAAUAAUAAAUCUCUCUCUUACACAUUUAUAAAGGCUCCAUCAGUAUGAUACAUAUUUAACAUACAAGCACUUUAUAUUUCAUUAUAUAUGUAUGUGAAAAUUAACUCCACUUUCUAGGUUUCCAUAAAUUUUCCUGUAUAACUGGUUUGAA